CAGCAUUGAAGAAGGCGUGCGCAGUGAUGCACAUCAAGAUCCAUGAUUAUUCAUGAGAUUUCUUGCAUAUCUCGGGACAUAAAUACUCAAAGAUUGAAGAAUGAGAGAUGGGUUUUUGAAAUGUGGCGGGAAGGAUAAUGGUUUAACAACCAGGAAUAGCAGGGGGUAGAUACCAAACCGGGAAGCUUUCAGUCCCGUUGCCUGUAGGAAGGGUUUAUCUCCCUGCUCCGUAGCUUCGGCUUCGUCCUUACUCCUUCCUCGCAUCAGAUAAUUGAAUCUGACCCUUCAACAAUUACAGUCGGUUUGGCAGCUGGGUAUUUCUGGUUCAAGCAGUAAAAUUAAUCUUUCAAAUAACUUUCCAGAAAAAUUGUUGUUAGUGGAGAAACAGAAAGCGGAUAGUAAAAAUGGUGAUAGUUUUGUAUACAACGAUAACUUACUAAAGAACUUGCAGGUACGAAAAGCCAAAACUAACCUAACUCUCGACCUUAUAGACUAACAUACAUAACCAUGAAAUUGUGCCUACUCUCAACCUUCUAUUCUAUCCCCAACAUUACAAGAAUAAAGGUAGAGCAAAUCUUAAGUUUGGUUAAGUUAAUGACAUUAUUAAUUUUAAUUACUACUAAUAACUAUUAACCUAAUACUUCCCC
rnacentral:lncRNA from 1 species